rnacentral:rRNA from 1 species
UACAGAGGGUGCGAGCGUUAAUCGGAAUUACUGGGCGUAAAGCGCACGUAGGUGGCGACGUAAGUCGGGUGUGAAAGCCCCGGGCUCAACCUGGGAAUUGCAUUCGAGACUGCAUUGCUCGAGUACGGAAGAGGAAGGCGGAAUUCCCGGUGUAGCGGUGAAAUGCGUAGAUAUCGGGAGGAACAUCAGUGGCGAAGGCGGCCUUCUGGUCCAGUACUGACACUCAAGUGCGAAAGCGUGGGGAGCAAACAGG